GAUUAGAAGCUUGCUUCUAUGACGUUAGCGGCGGACGGGUGAGUAACACGUGGGCAACCUGCCUGUAAGACUGGGAUAACUUCGGGAAACCGAAGCUAAUACCGGAUAGGAUCUUCUCCUUCAUGGGAGAUGAUUGAAAGAUGGUUUCGGCUAUCACUUACAGAUGGGCCCGCGGUGCAUUAGCUAGUUGGUGAGGUAACGGCUCACCAAGGCAACGAUGCAUAGCCGACCUGAGAGGGUGAUCGGCCACACUGGGACUGAGACACGGCCCAGACUCCUACGGGAGGCAGCAGUAGGGAAUCUUCCGCAAUGGACGAAAGUCUGACGGAGCAACGCCGCGUGAGUGAUGAAGGCUUUCGGGUCGUAAAACUCUGUUGUUAGGGAAGAACAAGUACGAGAGUAACUGCUCGUACCUUGACGGUACCUAACCAGAAAGCCACGGCUAACUACGUGCCAGCAGCCGCGGUAAUACGUAGGUGGCAAGCGUUAUCCGGAAUUAUUGGGCGUAAAGCGCGCGCAGGCG
rnacentral:rRNA from 2 species